GUGUCAGCCGCCGCGGUAAUACGUAGGGGGCUAGCGUUAUCCGGAAUUACUGGGCGUAAAGGGUGCGUAGGUGGUUUCUUAAGUCAGAGGUGAAAGGCUACGGCUCAACCGUAGUAAGCCUUUGAAACUGGGAAACUUGAGUGCAGGAGAGGAGAGUGGAAUUCCUAGUGUAGCGGUGAAAUGCGUAAAUAUUAGGAGGAACACCAGUUGCGAAGGCGGCUCUCUGGACUGUAACUGACACUGAGGCACGAAAGCGUGGGGAGCAAACAGGAUUAGAUACCCUGGUAGUCCACGCCGUAAACGAUGAGUACUAGCUGUCGGAAGUUACCCCCUUCGGUGGCGCAGCUAACGCAUUAAGUACUCCGCCUGGGAAGUACGCUCGCAAGAGUGGAACUCAAAGGAAUUGACGGGGACCCGCACAAGUAGCGGAGCAUGUGGUUUAAUUCGAAGCAACGCGAAGAACCUUACCUAAGCUUGACAUCCUUUUGAUCGAUGCCUAAUCGCAUCUUUCCCUUCGGGGACAGAAGUGACAGGUGGUGCAUGGUUGUCGUCAGCUCGUGUCGUGAGAUGUUGGGUUAAGUCCUGCAACGAGCGCAACCCUUGCCUUUAGUUGCCAGCAUUAAGUUGGGCACUCUAGAGGGACUGCCAGGGAUAACCUGGAGGAAGGUGGGGAUGACGUCAAAUCAUCAUGCCCCUUAUGCUUAGGGCUACACACGUGCUACAAUGGGUGGUACAGAGGGCAGCCAAGUCGUGAGGCGGAGCUAAUCCCUUAAAGCCAUUCUCAGUUUGGAUUGUAGGCUGAAACUCGCCUACAUGAAGCUGGAGUUACUAGUAAUCGCAGAUCAGAAUGCUGCGGUGAAUGCGUUCCCGGGUCUUGUACACACCGCCCGUCACACCACGGGAGUUGGGGGCGCCCGAAGCCGGAUUGCUAACCUUUUGGAAGCGUCCGUCGAAGGUGAAAUCAAUAACUGGGGUGAAGUCGUAACAAGGUAACC
rnacentral:rRNA from 1 species